rnacentral:rRNA from 1 species
CGGAGCUUGCUCUGGGGGAUUAGUGGCGAACGGGUGAGUAACACGUGAGUAACCUGCCCUUGACUCUGGGAUAACCUCCGGAAACGGAAGCUAAUACCGGAUAUGACGCACGGAGGCAUCUCCUGUGCGUGGAAAGAAUUUCGGUCAAGGAUGGACUCGCGGCCUAUCAGGUAGUUGGUGAGGUAACGGCUCACCAAGCCUACGACGGGUAGCCGGCCUGAGAGGGUGACCGGCCACACUGGGACUGAGACACGGCCCAGACUCCUACGGGAGGCAGCAGUGGGGAAUAUUGCACAAUGGGCGCAAGCCUGAUGCAGCAACGCCGCGUGAGGGAUGACGGCCUUCGGGUUGUAAACCUCUUUUAGUAGGGAAGAAGCGAAAGUGACGGUACCUGCAGAAAAAGCACCGGCUAACUACGUGCCAGCAGCCGCGGUAAUACGUAGGGUGCGAGCGUUGUCCGGAAUUAUUGGGCGUAAAGAGCUCGUAGGCGGUCUGUCGCGUCUGCUGUGAAAACCCGAGGCUCAACCUCGGGCCUGCAGUGGGUACGGGCAGACUAGAGUGCGGUAGGGGAGAAUGGAAUUCCUGGUGUAGCGGUGGAAUGCGCAGAUAUCAGGAGGAACACCGAUGGCGAAGGCAGUUCUCUGGGCCGUAACUGACGCUGAGGAGCGAAAGCGUGGGGAGCGAACAGGAUUAGAUACCCUGGUAGUCCACGCCGUAAACGUUGGGCGCUAGAUGUGGGGACCAUUCCA